rnacentral:rRNA from 1 species
ACACGACUACAUUAGACUACCCUGUAGUCCUAGGACGUAAAUGAUGCGAGUUAAGUGGUGGGGGCAUCUACGAGAUGGCCCUGUGCUGGUAGGGUAGACCGUUAAACUCGCUGCCGUGGGGAGUACGGUCGCAAGGCUAGAAACUUAAAGGAAUUGGCGGGGAGCACCACAAGAGGUGGAGGCUGCGGUUCAAUUGGACUCAACGCCGGAAAACUCAUCGGGAGCGACAGCAGUAUGAUUGCCAGGUUGAUGACCUUGCUUGACAAGCUG